rnacentral:lncRNA from 1 species
UGCAAAAGGCAGGCACAGCCCCCAGCCCACGUGCAGGUGGGGGCUCUUCCUGCUCCGCCACCCAGUGGCCCCGGAAGUCGUGGGGGGGGGACCCCCGAUUCCUUCUGCAGGCGUCGUGUGAGGUGCUCUCUCACAGAAACUCCUGGCCCUGUGGCAUCUGUUACGUGGUCCAGAUUUUAUCUCACCCUUCAAGUAGGGAAAAGGGAAUGACCUGUCACCCAGUUUGUUAGUUGAAGGACCUGAGCCCUUAUCCUCCAAAGUCAACCAAUGCCCUCCAACCCUGGACCCCCACUCCGGCUGGCCAGACCUGCGCUCGCCAUAGCCCGAGCCCUGGAGGGAGCUGCGGCCGCACAACACAGGGCUACCGUGACAAAGGUGACAGUGUGGGAAGCUCACAAGAGACGGCCGUGACACGCGGGAAAUGUCCGUGGGGGAAAAAAAAUAAAGGGAAAGCAUCGCCUAUGUGGCAAGCCCGCCUGAGGGACCUGGCCCAGCUCCUGCCCUGGCUGUGCUCUGUGCUCACGUGGGGAUAAACCGGCCCUGCUCUGCCAUUCACCUGCCCACACAUGUGGUGGAAUUGGGUGUGGGCCGUGGGAGGGCAGGGAGAGGGCUGGGCACGCACAUGCUGCAAUAACUCCCCAGGUAAGUUGUCGAUGCCUCCCUCCCCACCGUGAGUUGAGAACCCGCGACCUGGCCCGAGCUGGAACAUGGUAAAGUAAAUUAUCACGGGUGGUUGGAACUAAAAUUCCAUUCAGUCUGGGGGAAAAAAAAAAAAAAAACAAGAAAAACCCCAACAUAAAAAAAAAAACUAACUCAUUUCACAAAUGAGGAAACAGAUGCCCAGGGGAAUGAAAUGACUUUCUCAAAGUCACACGGCUGGUUUCUGGAGAUGCUGGAAAAAUAAUGCUUGUUUUCUGCGUGUCCCGUCUGAGCGCUCUUUCUGCCUCCCCUGCUGCCCCGCAGUCUAUCUGACGUCGCCAGUGAGCAUGCCUGUCCCUCAACCUCUUUGGGCCUCGGUUUUCCCAUCUGCAAAUCAAGGCACUUGGGUUUGACAGUUUCUGAGAACCAAUACGAAGUGACCCC